UACGUAGGGUGCGAGCGUUGUCCGGAAUUAUUGGGCGUAAAGGGCUCGUAGGCGGUUUGUCGCGUCGGGAGUGAAAACCAGGUGCUUAACACCUGGCUUGCUUUCGAUACGGGCAGACUAGAGGUAUGCAGGGGAGACUGGAAUUCCUGGUGUAGCGGUGGAAUGCGCAGAUAUCAGGAGGAACACCGAUGCGAAGGCAGGUCUCUGGGCUGACACUGACGCUCAUGCACGAAAGCGUGGGGAGCAAACAGG
rnacentral:rRNA from 1 species